UUCUUAAGUGGAUUCUGCUCCGUUCUCCUUUGAGGCUCUAGAUGAGAGUUAUGAGAACAUGCAAAUUUUACUCCGUGUGAAGCACCACUGUCUUUUGUUGUAUGACAAAUGAGUUAAUCUGGAUAAGUUGCAACUUCACGACUUUAGUGCCACGAUCUUGCCCUCUUUGUAUAAAUAACAACCACUUAAAGUGAGCCAUCACUUUAAAGGGUGCAGAAAUAGUCUUUCUCUCUCAGAGCGGAGCGGUUAAAUAAUCCUGUGAUGAUUCAGCACACUUUUGCUCACAAAGUCCUUUGAUGAGGCAAAUUAUCUUAACAGUAGUUUGAUGCUUUUAUUAUGUCAGUUUCUGUGUCAUUAUAUGCAUUUGUCACAAUGCCAUUCGAGGCAAUGAGUCAAAUUAAAACUACACGUAGACUCUGAUAUACACAGAGAAUUGGGAUUUUUUUCUUUCCUAGCCUAGAGGGUUAGUCAAUUGGUCUGAGUUGCAUAACUUUGAAUUUAAUCAUAUGUGGAAGUGAGACUUUGCUUAAUUGGGCCCUGAAGGAAAAUUUUUAGAUUUUUUAUUUAUUUUUAAUUUUUUGCAGCUUCUUCUCAGAGCAGCUGUAAGCACAGGAGGUAGCAGCUCAGGAUAAUAAAAAUAAAAUAAUUGUGAAUUCAAAUAAAAUUGUGGUAUGUUAAAUGUAAUAUUGGCACACAUGGUGGGAUUGCACUUUCCCCCCAAUUACUGUAACUCUACACCUGCUCCUGCCACUACUGGCAAAACCGCCAAUGGAUGGUAAUGGUUCACAGGUGAGAGAGUGCCCAAACACCAGAUAACAGAGAGCAAUAAAAGUCAAAAAUACACAUCUCAAAUCUCAGGCGAGAGGUCAUUACAUCAUAACAUUAUAUAACAAUCAAGACCAACUGUUCAGGUAAAACAUAAAAUGUACGUGGAAUAUCUGGAGUGGAAAAAACGAAACAAAAAACCGUAGCACUGUCUUACUCGCCACAGUACAGUCAUCUACACGUUUUUUAUAGUUCUUCUAUUUUUGUUCUUUUCUUCUUUUCUUUUAAAAUAUGUAAAAACAAAAAAAAACAUAAAUUAGGUCAGGUUCAGUAAGAGCCUGUAUGUGUAGGAAGAUAUCUUUGUGAAAAAUGAUCUUCUCUCUGAGGCUUACAUCAAAGAAUUCGAGCAUCAACAUGGAUUUUGCAAUGCGAAUGAGUCUCACUUUAAUAACUACGCGCACACAGACAUUAAAUCAUACCUCUCGGCAGGUAGUUCUCCCCCUAUUUCCCCCUGCAGGAGACAUUUGGCUUUAUUUAUGUAAAAUAAAACCACUGGCUUUUAUCCAGCCUUGAGCAACGUUGUGAAAAAUAGCACUGCGUCCGAGGUUUGUUCCAGGAGCGGGAAUAUUUCAGCGGCCAGACAUUUUUUCUGAUGUAACUGUAACUGUCAGAAUGGGGAUAUUAGCCUGCUUUGUGUGCCCAUUGUAGUUUAAUGAAAGUUAAAGACCUCACCUCCGCUGUACUGAAGCUGUAAGCUAGUGGUAGUCAAUAUGUUUGCAUGCAGAGAAACAAGUACAAGCAAGUUACAGUUACAGGCAAGGACUUCAAACGGCCUCUUGAGGCUGGCUCCAAAAGCAGUUUUCACUUAUACAAGUUGGCAAGUUUUGGUCCCUUUGUGAGAAGAGAGGAUAGAGAUGAAUUUGUCUUUUAAAUGUUUGAAGCUAUGUGUUACCUUACAGGAGUAUAGGCCCUUUGAACUUGUUCAGUGUCCUCAUAAGUCAUCCUAAAGACAUCAGUAUACCUGCCACGUUGGUCACGUUGUGUGCUGCCGCUAACGUCAUGGCACACUCGCAUCCAUGUAUGCUCACCAAUACACUACAGGUAGCACUUGCAGUAUUCUCCUGAAGGAUAGGUGCCGCAACUCAGACAGUACCUCAGAAUGUCCUUGGGCAAGAUGCUAGCCCCAAGUUCCUCUCCGAUGGAUCCAUCAGCAUAUGAGUGUGUUUGAAUGUUAGAUAGAAAGCACUUAUGUAGAUAAAGCAUAGAAAGAAGUGCUUGUAUGAGUCGGCAAGUCAUGUAAAGUGGUCAGUUGGAGUACAAAGGUGUCAUUUGCCAUUACUAAUCAUUUACCCGGUCGACACAGAGGCGCAGCAGCUCUACUCUGAGCCCCUUUCAAAUGUCUAAACUCUUCAGCCUAUCACUAAGAAAGAUGUCAGCCACACUUCAGAGAAAGCUCAUUUACACCACUUCUAUCUGCAGUCUCGUUCUUUCAGUCACUGUCCAGAGCUCGUGACUAUAAGGUAGGGACGUAAAUCGACAUGCUCCUCUCUCUUUUUACCACGAUGGACCAGUACAGUGCGUGCAUCACUGCAGAUGCCGCCCCAGUCCGUCUGUCAAUCACUUGCUCCCCUCUCCCCUCACUUGUGGCAGCAUCUCAUCACUGACCCAGAGUGAGCACUCCACCCUUCCCUGGCUGAGGACCAUGGCAUCAGACUUGGAGGUGCUAAUUCUUGUUCCCGCCGCAUCACUCUUGGCCGCAAACUGCUCCAGUGCGUGUGAACUGCUGAACUACAUCAUCUGCAAUAAGCAGAGAUGAAAUUCUGGGAAGAAGAAAAAAGCAAAGAUUUCCACUGCCAGCGUCACAGCUGGGGUCAUGUUUACUGUAACUGUCUGUAAGUAGAUCAUGACAAAAGUGAUUUAUUCCUCUGGGGGUGAAAAGUGAAAAAGAGAAAAACAGAGGAAGGAAAAAAGUAGCAGAAAAAGGAUGUUUCCAUGAGUAAUUACAGUCUGGUAUCAUAAACACUCACUGACCGUGAUGUUAGUUAAAUAGAGGCAUGAAAGUGGCCUUCAUUUCACUCAGUGCAUGACGAGGUUAGUUUACGUUGUGUGGAAACCACAGAAAUCAUGGCUGGAAACUUUAUCUUUAGCUCACUAGUCUGUUCACAGCCUUACAAACAGAUCUGGUCAUCACGUCUGAUGUUGCUGAAUAACAUUCAUCGUUAUAUGAAUGGUACUCGCACCAUCGAGGCACCUCAAUAUUUGAUGCAAGGAAAUGAGCACUAAUUUGGGAGUGGUUUUGUGUUUCACAAUGGCUGCAAUUGGGUUGGGUUCAUUGAUGACAGGUGUAUUUGAUUGCACUCACAUGCAGAAAAUUGUCUUGCUGAGCCUGGAGUGGUUGCUGGACUACUCUGUACAGGAUGGGAGAACAACAGCUGAUCCCUGUUGAGGUUAUCAGCCUGUGGGGUGUAGCUGAUUUGUGGCAUAGCUAUCCCUGGCCUUGGACUAUAUUGUUUAUCCCUUUUGAAAGUGGGAGAUUCAACUUUAAUAUGAUAAAUAUUGUAGCUGCCGGGAUUGUUUCCCAUUAAUCUCAUUGAUUUGACUAAUGAAUUAUGUUUUAGAUUUAGUCUGAGAUGGUCAGAGUUAGACUCUUGCUACACAAGUUAAACUGUAAAUAUGACUUGUUACUGAUUAGGCUGAAACGUUGCCAUGGCUGUCUGAACUAAGGAAGUGCUAGUCACAUAUUAAUGGGCUAUCCUGUAUUGACAGGUUGUCUCAUUUUGUUUGUGGCUUGCAUUGCCUCAUUUUGAACGCAUCACAGUAAGUUUUCCUACAUACGUUUGUAUUAAACUUGGUUGUUUUUUGCCCUUGUUUUUUAUGUAAUAAAAAAUAUUUAGGCUUAUGUUAAAUUGUAAUUGUUUUGCCCUUUUGUACAAAGUCAAUAAAAAUUGUUAACU
ensembl:lncRNA